GCCUAACACAUGCAAGUCGAGCGAAGCGUUUAAAGGAAGUUUUCGGAUGGAAUUUGAAAUGACUGAGCGGCGGACGGGUGAGUAACGCGUGGGUAACCUGCCUCAUACAGGGGGAUAACAGUUAGAAAUGACUGCUAAUACCGCAUAAGCACACAGUACCGCAUGGUACGGUGUGAAAAACUCCGGUGGUAUGAGAUGGACCCGCGUCUGAUUAGCUGGUUGGCGGGGUAACGGCCCACCAAGGCGACGAUCAGUAGCCGACCUGAGAGGGUGACCGGCCACAUUGGGACUGAGACACGGCCCAAACUCCUACGGGAGGCAGCAGUGGGGAAUAUUGCACAAUGGGGGAAACCCUGAUGCAGCAACGCCGCGUGAGUGAAGAAGUAUUUCGGUAUGUAAAGCUCUAUCAGCAGGGAAGAAAGUGACGGUACCUGACUAAGAAGCCCCGGCUAACUACGUGCCAGCAGCCGCGGUAAUACGUAGGGGGCAAGCGUUAUCCGGAUUUACUGGGUGUAAAGGGAGCGUAGACGGCACAGCAAGUCUGAAGUGAAAUCCCCGGGCUCAACCCGGGAACUGCUUUGGAAACUGUUGGGCUGGAGUGCUGGAGAGGCAAGCGG
rnacentral:rRNA from 1 species